rnacentral:snRNA from 1 species
UCUUGCUGAUGGAUUAGCGAA